CUAAUAGUCUAAUACUUGGCCUAUUUUAAGUUUCUCAACUUGUUAUUUAGUAUGUUUUAUUUACUGAGGUAUCUGUCUUAGUAUAUAAACUAUAUAUUAUCAACUUGUUUAGUUUAUAUCAAAUCUGCAAUCGUCACAUGAGUUAUACGGUUAUCAAAUGUAUACUUAGGUCAUGAAUGGUGACAUAGACCGCACCCAAAACCGCACCGCAAUAGUGCUGUAACAUUAUCAAAAUCUCUACAUAUACAUAUGUAUUUAUGUAUUUUCGUUACUAUUUGAACUGCACCGCAUUUCUCCCACACCGCAAAACGCGGUUACCAUUCAAAUCCUUAUAAUUAUGAAAAUCGGCUCCUAAUUUCAACCAGUAAAUCGAAACUAUUAUAAAUUAUAA
rnacentral:sRNA from 1 species